AUUGAACGCUGACGGAAUGCUUUACACAUGCAAGUCGAACGGCAGCACGGACUUCGGUCUGGUGGCGAGUGGCGAACGGGUGGGUAAUGUAUCGGAACGUGCCCAGUCGUGGGGGAUAACGUAGUGAAAAUUACGCUAAUACCGCAUACGAUCUAUGGAUGAAAGCGGGGGAUCGCAAGACCUCGCGCGCUUGGAGCGGCCGAUAUCAGAUUAGGUAGUUGGUGGGGUAAAGGCCCACCAAGCCAACGAUCUGUAGCUGGUCUGAGAGGACGACCAGCCACACUGGAACUGAGACACGGUCCAGACUCCUACGGGAGGCAGCAGUGGGGAAUUUUGGACAAUGGGCGAAAGCCUGAUCCAGCCAUUCCGCGUGCAGGAUGAAGGACCUCGGGUUGUAAACUGCUUUUGUACAGAACGAAAAGGUUUCUACUAAUACUAGGAGCUCAUGACGGUACUGUAAGAAUAAGCACCGGCUAACUACGUGCCAGCCGCCGCAGUAA
rnacentral:rRNA from 1 species